rnacentral:rRNA from 1 species
UGGGGAAUUUUGGACAAUGGGCGCAAGCCUGAUCCAGCCAUGCCGCGUGCGGGAAGAAGGCCUUCGGGUUGUAAACCGCUUUUGUCAGGGAAGAAACGGUCUGGGCUAAUACCCCGGACUAAUGACGGUACCUGAAGAAUAAGCACCGGCUAACUACGUGCCAGCAGCCGCGGUAAUACGUAGGGUGCAAGCGUUAAUCGGAAUUACUGGGCGUAAAGCGUGCGCAGGCGGCUUUGCAAGACAGAUGUGAAAUCCCCGGGCUUAACCUGGGAACUGCAUUUGUGACUGCAAGGCUGGAGUGCGGCAGAGGGGGAUGGAAUUCCGCGUGUAGCAGUGAAAUGCGUAGAUAUGCGGAGGAACACCGAUGGCGAAGGCAAUCCCCUGGGCCUGCACUGACGCUCAUGCACGAAAGCGUGGGGAGCAAACAGGAUUAGAUACCCUGGUAGUCCACGCCCUAAACGAUGUCAACUGGUUGUUGGACGGCUUGCUGUUCAGUAACGAAGCUAACGCGUGAAGUUGACCGCCUGGGGAGUACGGCCGCAAGGUUG